rnacentral:rRNA from 1 species
UACGUAGGGGGCAAGCGUUGUCCGGAAUUAUUGGGCGUAAAGAGCGUGUAGGCGGUCCGGUAAGUCAGCUGUGAAAGUCAAGGGCUCAACCCUUGAAUGCCGGUUGAUACUGUCGGGCUAGAGUCCGGAAGAGGCGAGUGGAAUUCCCGGUGUAGCGGUGAAAUGCGUAGAUAUCGAGAGGAACACCUGCGGCGAAGGCGGGUUGCUGGGCUGACACUGACGCUGAGGCGCGAAAGCUAGGGGAGCGAACGGG